GAUGAACGCGGGCGGCGUGCCUAAUACAUGCAAGUCGAGCGAACAGAUGAGGAGCUCGCUCCUCUGACGUUAGCGGCGGACGGGUGAGUAACACGUGGAUAACCUACCUAUAAGACUGGGAUAACUUCGGGAAACCGGAGCUAAUACCGGAUAAUAUAUUGAACCGCAUGGUUCAAUAGUGAAAGACGGUUUUGCUGUCACUUAUAGAUGGAUCCGCGCCGCAUUAGCUAGUUGGUAAGGUAACGGCUUACCAAGGCAACGAUGCGUAGCCGACCUGAGAGGGUGAUCGGCCACACUGGAACUGAGACACGGUCCAGACUCCUACGGGAGGCAGCAGUAGGGAAUCUUCCGCAAUGGGCGAAAGCCUGACGGAGCAACGCCGCGUGAGUGAUGAAGGUCUUCGGAUCGUAAAACUCUGUUAUUAGGGAAGAACAAAUGUGUAAGUAACUAUGCACGUCUUGACGGUACCUAAUCAGAAAGCCACGGCUAACUACGUG
rnacentral:rRNA from 1 species